GACGAACGCUGGCGGCGUGCUUAACACAUGCAAGUCGAACGGAAAGGCCCUGCUUUUGUGGGGUGCUCGAGUGGCGAACGGGUGAGUAACACGUGAGUAACCUGCCCUUGACUUUGGGAUAACUUCAGGAAACUGGGGCUAAUACCGGAUAGGAGCUCCUGCUGCAUGGUGGGGGUUGGAAAGUUUCGGCGGUUGGGGAUGGACUCGCGGCUUAUCAGCUUGUUGGUGGGGUAGUGGCUUACCAAGGCUUUGACGGGUAGCCGGCCUGAGAGGGUGACCGGCCACAUUGGGACUGAGAUACGGCCCAGACUGGUACGAGAGGCAGCAGUGGGGAAUAUUGCCCAAUGGGCGGAAGCCUGAUGCAGCAACGCCGCGUGCGGGAUGACGGCCUUCGGGUUGUAAACCGCUUUCGCCUGUGACGAAGCGUGAGUGACGGUAAUGGGUAAAGAAGCACCGGCUAACUACGUG
rnacentral:rRNA from 1 species